rnacentral:rRNA from 1 species
UACGUAGGUGGCGAGCGUUAUCCGGAAUUAUUGGGCGUAAAGCGCGCGCAGGCGGCUAUCCAAGUCAGUGGUGAAAGCCCGGAGCUCAACUCCGGAACUGCCAUUGAAACUGUUUAGCUGGAGUAUGAGAGAGGAUAGUGGAAUACCCAGUGUAGCGGUGAAAUGCGUAGAGAUUGGGUGGAACACCGGUGGCGAAGGCGGCUAUCUGGCUCACAACUGACGAUCAGGCACGAAAGCGUGGGGAGCAAACAGG